rnacentral:lncRNA from 10 species
GGGCGGGGGGCACUGACACGGAAUCCCCACGCCCUCUCCGGAGGCAGCUGGCAGGGAGGUGGGGGGGCCCACCGAGCCCGCCACCCAUGGGUGAGCCAGCCUCAGAUCCGAUCCUGCAGGAAAAGGAUCGAGAAAGCCCCACUCGGAUUCUCCAUGGUGAGAACCUGACUCAGAGGGGCAGGGGCUCCUCUGUGAGACGGGCAUGGACCCUAAUCCUCAUCGCAGCCCUGAGAAGAAGCAGAGACUACAAUUUCCACCAUACAGUUGGGGAAACUGAGGCCCAGAGAUGGACAAGGAGCAAGGAUGUUAAGUCCAGCAUUCGCGUGUCUCUGGACGCUGCCAGGGGGACCAAAGGGAGGUCCUUCAGGAAGUGCCAGGAUGUGGCACACCCCAAACCACGCCCCCCGCCCCUGUCAUGAAAACAGAACGAAGGGGACCCAAAGCUUCCUCCUGACCUCUGCCCUUCACUUCCUUUUUCCUCCCCCAACCAAAAAAAAAAAAAAAAAAAAAAAACCCGAGUUGAUACUAUUGAAAACCUAAUAAAGUAUAAAAGAUUGGGUUGCUGUGUGAUCUUGGGCAGGUUGCUUAACCUCUCUGAUCCUCAGACUCCUUUGGAGAGAAGAAUCGAUGCAACUUCCUAGUGUUGUGACAAGGGAGAAAUGAGACGGUGCAUGGAACGCUGAGACAGCACAACCCCUGCACCAGGGAGGUCUUCAUUACAUGAUAGGUGUGAUUAUAUUAUUAAUGUUUGAGUCACGCCUAUUAUUUUUGUCUCUGUGUAGCCAGGGGUUUUCUGUUUGUCUGUUUGUUUGUUUGUUUAUUUGUUUGUGAGACAGAGGUUCACUCUUAUUGCCCAGGCUGGAGUGUAAUGGCACGAUCUCGGCUCACCACAACCUCUGCCUCUCAGGUUCAAGCGAUUUUCCUGCCUCAACCUCCCAAGUAGCUGGGAUUACAGGCAUACGCC